UGCCAUCAGCCCAUUUGGAGAUGGAGUAAUGGACCCUCUCACGGGAAAGGGCUUCAGCUUUGUAAGGUUCCUUCAGGCAAUUCCUAACAAGAUUAGCACAGAGAUUUGAAUAGGUUAUGUAAGUCAUCCCUGCUGAUCUCCAGAAUGGUGCUGCUGCGUUCGAUGCCAUUUUCUUCUCCGCCGCUCUCGAUCCUUCUUCCUCCUCUUCUACUUUGAAA
rnacentral:misc_RNA from 1 species